rnacentral:rRNA from 1 species
CAGCGCCACGAGUGGGAGCCAUGAUUAUUGGGCCUAAAGCGUCCGUAGCCGGUUUGAUAAAUCUUUUGUGAAAUCGUUAGGCUUAACUUAACGACGUGCAGAAGACACUGUCAGACUUGGAACUGGGAGGAGUCAGAGGUAUUCUUGAGGGAGCGGUAAAAUGCUAUAAUCUCAGGAGGACCACCUGUGGCGAAGGCGUCUGACCAGAACAGAUUCGACGGUGAGGGACGAAAGCCAGGGGAGCGAUCCGGAUUAGAGACCCGAGUAGUCC